UGAUUUCUUCGUCCCGCUCCCGCAGCUUUUAAUACCGCACAACGCCCGCUGGCUUUCUGUCCGAUUCCCAUCUGCUACGUCAAGAACUGGUCCCAAACCCAACAUGUUAUUUUAGGCGCAUGUGACGCAGCUCACGUGCCAGCCAUGGUCUCAGCAAUUUUGCACCCUACAGGCUAUAUGGAAUUCGGGGAAAUUACAUCAGAAAAUAGGUUAAAUCACCAGAGAUUCUCACGUGGCCACAUUACGCUAUCUGUAUUAAUGGGUUCGCUAAGGCAUACCAAGCAGAAAGAUGACCUUUCCAAAUAAUCUGCGGGACAACACAACUAUUUUCAUCCCAAAGUAGUCUGCCUGACUGCCCGCUCCCUCCCGCUGCAUGAAAAAGGCCGGCCGUGCCACAAUGAUCUCUGUCGGGACCGGCAGGUCCAGCGGGCCGUCCCAUGCCAGAAUUGAAGGAUCUCAACAGCUGUCUCAGCCGUCCAGUGGACUGGAUCACGGGGCUGUGUGCGGAACCGGAGUCUAUUCAUGUCAGUUAAGUAAUUGCAUCUCUCCAAAAUGGUUUGGUUCAGUCUAUUUAUGAGAGACUGCUGAUCUCUUUCCAGCCUAUCUGGAAAAUGUAUGAGUGGGACAUAGAGUAUUGCACUAGGAAACAUGUUCUCACACACUUUCAGCAACUGCUGCAGCUGUUUCCAGGUGGUGCUAGAUGUCUGUCUCAAGAGGCAGUUGUUUAAGCCUGCAGACAGAAUCACCUUCUCUAUGGCAGGGUUUGGUUCUAGCUUCUCCAAAACGCCUUUCAGAUGAUAGCAGGUGGCCCCUGGAAAGCUAUCCACCUGCAUCACAAAAGGCAGGGAUGCUUGACAGAUUUGAAUCUCCUAUCACCACAACAGGUUUACCUAUGUCAAUCACCCAGUCCUUAAUCUUUCUCCCUGUGUUAGGAUGUCUAAGAGGCUCCCGGCGUGUGGCUAGAACAGGCUCAGAUGGCAGGUUUGGGAAUCGAACCCACAACCCUGGCAUUGCAAACACCAUGCUCUACCAACUGAGGUACAUUCCUGCCACAUUUCAGACUACUGCACAUAAUACUUCCUAUCUAAACCUAACUGCUUGUGAAACCCCCACACAGAGGUGUGAAAUUCCUCAACUUGAGGAGCCUCAGACAUCAGAACAAUGGCCUGACAACACCUGAGACAUUCUUUAGCAAGAUGGUAUCUGCCAAAAGUGUGUUGAAUAGACAAGGGUGAAAAUAAAAACAAUAUGCAGGUUUUCUUUUAAAUGUGUUGUUUAUUUUAAAGUGCAGAUACCCAAAACUGAAAUUUAAGUUGAACAUGCAUGGCUAAAUAUAUUACCAAAAUUACAGAUUUACAU